AGAGUUUGAUCAUGGCUCAGAACGUACGCUGGCGGCACGCCUAACACAUGCAAGUCGAACGAAGUAGCAAUACUUAGUGGCAGACGGGUGAGUAACAUGUAGGUAUCUGCCCUUUGGCCUGGAAUAACACGAGGAAACUUGUGCUAAUACCGGAUAAGUCUUUACGGAGAAAGCUUUAUGCACCAUUGGAUGAGCCUGCACUUGAUUAGUUUGUUGGUGGGGUAAUGGCCUACCAAGACUGUGAUCAAUAGCUGAUUUGAGAGGAUGAUCAGCCACAUUGGGACUGAGACACGGCCCAAACUCCUACGGGAGGCAGCAGUGGGGAAUCUUGCACAAUGGAGGAAACUCUGAUGCAGCGAUGCCGCGUGAGUGAAGAAGGCCCUUGGGUUGUAAAGCUCUUUCGUCGGGGAAGAAAAUGACUGUACCCGAAUAAGAAGGUCCGGCUAACUUCGUGCCAGCAGCCGCGGUAAUACGAAGGGACCUAGCGUAGUUCGGAAUUACUGGGCUUAAAGAGUUCGUAGGUGGUUGAAAAAGUUAGUGGUGAAAUCCCAGAGCUUAACUCUGGAACUGCCAUUAAAACUUUUCAGCUAGAGUAUGAUAGAGGAAAGCAGAAUUUCUAGUGUAGAGGUGAAAUUCGUAGAUAUUAGAAAGAAUACCAAUUGCGAAGGCAGCUUUCUGGAUCAUUACUGACACUGAGGAACGAAAGCAUGGGUAGCGAAGAGGAUUAGAUACCCUCGUAGUCCAUGCCGUAAACGAUGUGUGUUAGACGUUGGAAAUUUAUUUUCAGUGUCGCAGGGAAACCGAUAAACACACCGCCUGGGGAGUACGACCGCAAGGUUAAAACUCAAAUGAAUUGACGGGGACCCGCACAAGCGGUGGAGCAUGUGGUUUAAUUCGAUGCAACGCGAAGAACCUUACCAGCGUUUGACAUGGGAAGUACCGGUUACAGAAUGGUAACCUUCAGUUCGGCUGGCUUCCACACAGGUGCUGCAUGGCUGUCGUCAGCUCGUGUCGUGAGAUGUUGGGUUAAGUCCCGCAACGAGCGCAACCCUCACUUUUAGUUGCCAUCAUUAAGUUGGGCACUCUGAAAGAACUGCCAGUGAUAAGCUGGAGGAAGGUGGGGAUGACGUCAAGUCCUCAUGGCCCUUACGUGUUGGGCUACACACGUGCUACAAUGGUAUCUACAACAGGUAGCAAGACGGCGACGUUAAGCAAAUCCUUAAAAGAUACCUCAGUUCGGAUUGCACUCUGCAACUCGAGUGCAUGAAGCUGGAAUUACUAGUAAUCGUGGAUCAGCGUGCCACGGUGAAUGCGUUCCCGGGUCUUGUACACACCGCCCGUCACACCAUGGGAGUUGGUUCUACCUUAAGGCAAGGUUUCAAACCCUUGACCACGGUAUAGUCAGCGACUGGGGUGAAGUCGUAACAAGGUAGCCGUAGGGGAACCUGCGGCUG
rnacentral:rRNA from 1 species